rnacentral:rRNA from 2 species
GGCGAGUGAAGCGGCAACAGCUCAGAUUUGAAAUCUGGCACCCGCCCGAGUUGUAAUUUGUAGAGGAUGCUUCUAGGCAGCGGCCGGUCUAAGUUUCUUGGAACAGGACGUCAUAGAGGGUGAGAAUCCCGUAUGUGACCGGCUGGCACCUUACACGUAGCUCCUUCGACGAGUCGAGUUGUUUGGGAAUGCAGCUCUAAAUGGGAGGUAAAUUUCUUCUAAAGCUAAAUACCGGCCAGAGACCGAUAGCGCACAAGUAGAGUGAUCGAAAGAUGAAAAGCACUUUGGAAAGAGAGUUAAAAAGCACGUGAAAUUGUUAAAAGGGAAGCGCUUGCGACCAGACUUGUCGGCGGUGUUCCGCCGGUCUUCUGACCGGUCUACUCGCCGCCUGCAGGCCAGCGUCGUCUGGGGCCGCCGGAGAAAGGCGUCGGGAAUGUAGCUCCUCCGGGAGUGUUAUAGCCCGUCGCACAAUACGGUGCGCGCCGGGCGAGGUCCGCGCUUCGGCAAGGACGCUGGCGUAAUGGUCGUAAGCGGCCCGUCUUGAAACACGGACCAAGGAGUCGAUCAAUCGUGCGAGUGUUCGGGUGGAAAACCCUUG